rnacentral:misc_RNA from 1 species
UCGGUGCUCCUAAAAGUUUCGCCAAAGCUCAUGCUUGCGGCUUGUGUCGUAUCGAGACCAAUGUGCGGCUUGUUUGCACGACGGAAUGACCAAAAAGUCGGCACCAAAAGAUGAAUCGUCGAGUGUGAGUGCGUGCGGUGCCCUCGGGCGCGACGUGCAAGGCGAUGUUCUAGGUGCUUGCGAUUGAGACCGUCAUUGCACUGCAAACAUCGAAGCUCAUUGCUUUCGGCCCGUGUUCGGUUCGGAUUGGUUGUACUGCAAAAUUGGUUGGUUCCUUCAUUAAUUGAUUACCGUGUGUAGCGGGACAUGCUUGGGCUUAGUUGUCACUUGUUUGAGAACUUUCGGGUUAGCGGACUUGUGGUGUGCUUUGCUUGGGUUAUGCG